rnacentral:rRNA from 1 species
UACGGAGGGGACUAGCGUUGUUCGGAAUUACUGGGCGUAAAGGGCUCGUAGGCGGCCAACUAAGUCAGACGUGAAAUCCCUCGGCUUAACCGGGGAACUGCGUCUGAUACUGGAUGGCUUGAGUUCGGGAGAGGGAUGCGGAAUUCCAGGUGUAGCGGUGAAAUGCGUAGAUAUCUGGAGGAACACCGGUGGCGAAGGCGGCAUCCUGGACCGACACUGACGCUGAGGAGCGAAAGCCAGGGGAGCAAACGGG